GUAGGUGGCAAGCGUUGUCCGGAAUUAUUGGGCGUAAAGCGCGCGCAGGCGGUUCUCUAAGUCUGAUGUGAAAGCCCACGGGCUCAACCGUGGAGGGUCAUUGGAAACUGGAGAACUUGAGUACAGAAGAGGAAAGCGGAAUUCCACGUGUAGCGGUGAAAUGCGUAGAGAUGUGGAGGAACACCAGUGGCGAAGGCGGCUUUCUGGUCUGUAACUGACGCUGAGGCGCGAAAGCGUGGGGAGCAAACAGGAUUAGAUACCCUGGUAGUCCACGCCGUAAACGAUGAGUGCUAAGUGUUAGGGGGUUUCCGCCCCUUAGUGCUGCAGCUAACGCAUUAAGCACUCCGCCUGGGGAGUACGGCCGCAAGGCUG
rnacentral:rRNA from 1 species